rnacentral:rRNA from 1 species
GUGCAGCAGUCGAGAAUACUUUACAAUGUGCGAAAGCACGAUAAGGGAACUCUGAGUGCCUCCUAAGGAGGCUGUUCUGAUGUCUAAAAAGCAACAGAAGUAAGGGCUGGGUAAGACCGGUGCCAGCCGCCGCGGUAACACCGGCAGCCCAAGUGGUAGCCACGUUUAUUGGGUCUAAAGCGUUCGUAGCCGGCCAGGUAAGUUCCUUGGUAAAUUUAGCCGCUUAACGGUUAAGCUUUCAGGGAAUACUGCUUGGCUUGGGACUGGGAGAGGUCAGAGGUACUCCGGGGGUAGGGGUGAAAUCUAUUAAUCCCUGGGGACCACCGGUAGCGAAGGCGUCUGACCAGACCAGGUCCGACGGUGAGGGACGAAGGCUAGGGGCGCGAACCGGAUUAGAUACCCCCGUAGU